rnacentral:rRNA from 1 species
GACGAACGCUGGCGGCGUGCCUAAUACAUGCAAGUAGAACGCUGAAGAGAGGAGCUUGCUCUUCUUGGAUGAGUUGCGAACGGGUGAGUAACGCGUAGGUAACCUGCCUUGUAGCGGGGGAUAACUAUUGGAAACGAUAGCUAAUACCGCAUAACAAUAGGUGACACAUGUCAUUUAUUUGAAAGGGGCAGUUGCUCCACUACAAGAUGGACCUGCGUUGUAUUAGCUAGUAGGUGAGGUAACGGCUCACCUAGGCGACGAUACAUAGCCGACCUGAGAGGGUGAUCGGCCACACUGGGACUGAGACACGGCCCAGACUCCUACGGGAGGCAGCAGUAGGGAAUCUUCGGCAAUGGGGGCAACCCUGACCGAGCAACGCCGCGUGAGUGAAGAAGGUUUUCGGAUCGUAAAGCUCUGUUGUAAGUCAAGAACGAGUGUGAGAGUGGAAAGUUCACACUGUGACGGUAGCUUACCAGAAAGGGACGGCUAACUACGU